AUUGUGCUCAUUCUGCACGUCGAAUGACUCUAUUCGACAAUUCUCACCUCGGAGUCACAUGACUCUUCUCACUCGAUUCCGGUUGUCGACUCGAGUGAGGUGAGAGGUUCACUUUUGUAGCGAGAAACGAAAUGAACCAAAACAAAUGCGAUGUUCAUUCGCAGAACUGUCAAACCGGUGGCGCAUCAAGAAUACGCUUUGAUUAUGGCGUAUUAAAAAAACACAAUUUGUAUAUAUCGUUUUAUCUCGUCAAUUUGUAAUAUUUUCAUCUACUUACAUCAAGUUAUGACCUUAAACAAAAGUUGUAUGUAAUGAUUUAAAAUUAGAAAGCAUGAUAUAGUAGUUUAAAAUGUGUAUUUUUAACAUUUUGGUAACGCAAACAUAUCCAACGUUUGGCCCUUAUAUAAACAUGCCCGAUUUCUCUUGAGUUGAUUUUCCUCCUUCCAAAAAUUGAAAAAACUUCUUCAAACAAAAUAUUUUUUUUAAUCGUGGUUACGCGGAUUUUACGUCAAGCUGGAUUUGAAUCCGGAGACUGUUUCUUAGGUUUCCUCGGCGCAGUAAGGUAUGUUUUAAACCACUAGAAAGCAAUUUCUCCAACUCAUCCAAAACACAGUAAAAGUAUUGUGAUGUUUUUCAACUUCCACAGACCACCCCACAAUCCAUCGGUUCGGCAUCGAUAGCCGCAACGGCGGCUCUGGCAACGCAUUUUUGCUCAGCCACUUCCGUCGUCGUAUACACGGCUAGAACUAAGUUGACCAGUAGCAGUAGCUCGGUUAGCUACGUCGUCAUCAACUUUCGAGGACCUAUCCUACGACGGAGCAAGGGAAACUUGCGAACCAGUCAGCGACGCCUGCUGAAGGUGACCGAGAUUAAUUGUUCCUGU